rnacentral:rRNA from 1 species
AUAGAACGCUGGCGGCAUGCCUUACACGUGCAAGUCGAACGGUAACAGGUCUUCGGAUGCUGACGAGUGGCGAACGGGUGAGUAAUACAUCGGAACGUGCCUAGUAGUGGGGGAUAACUACUCGAAAGAGUGGCUAAUACCGCAUGAGAUCUACGGAUGAAAGCAGGGGAUCGCAAGACCUUGUGCUACUAGAGCGGCCGAUGGCAGAUUAGGUAGUUGGUGGGAUAAAAGCUUACCAAGCCGACGAUCUGUAGCUGGUCUGAGAGGACGAUCAGCCACACUGGGACUGAGACACGGCCCAGACUCCUACGGGAGGCAGCAGUGGAGAAUUUUGGACAAUGGGCGCAAGCCUGAUCCAGCAAUGCCGCGUGCAGGAUGAAGGCCUUCGGGUUGUAAACUGCUUUUGUACGGAACGAAAAGCCCUGGGUUAAUACCCUGGGGUCAUGACGGUACCGUAAGAAUAAGCACCGGCUAACUACGUGCCAGCCGCCGCGGUAA